CAGACGUUUGUGUGGAUGGUUCCAUUGUGAUAAGGGAAUACACCAAUCGUGGAGUGCAGAAGAGCUGUGUUGAUGAAGGUGUGGUGUUGGCACCACAUGUACUUGCAGCUGUGGCUCAGUGGCAACUGGAGGUGACUAUGCAACUUCAAAGUGGGGAGUGACUGAACAGUACGGAUAAAGAACGGGCUUCUAGCUUCCAGCUUCCAGCUUCGUAGCAUCGCAUCACAGAAUUGGUGUCCUCAUUCCAAACACAGUUCCAGUAAGGGCAUCGCAGUGCUCUGCUGUUUUCGGACGUAACCCUUCAUGGUCCGUGGCUAUGCUUCGAUCGUCGGUGACUCCUGCCAAUUCCAUUCUGUUGGCUGGCACUUCUCAGAUUUCCCGAGAGCUCGGAACCAGAAAAUGACCGACGACUGUGCACGGACCUGACGAAAUAUGUGAAAGCUUCGUCACCGUGCAGAGCAGAGUAGAUGUAUCCAGAUGUACUUCCUGGACCAUGGAAUCGUAUGAAAUAUUCAGAAGGUAUCAUAGUACUGUCCAGCCUUGGAGUGUCG